UUUGAAAUAUAUGUACUUAUUUUGCAAACAUAAUUACUACUUGUUAAUGAACGUCCUCUGAAUUUAACUAGAUGGCGGUUUUUAUGUCUAUUUUUCCGUUGUCUUACAAGAUAAAACAACUCGACCUAUUCAAAAGGUCUUUGAAUAGAACCUCCGAAAUUAUUAGGAAAUGUAACCCAAAAAAAAUUUCUUUCUAAAACCUUAUCUAUACCAAAAACAUCAAACCUUGAACCAUUAAAGCUGAGAGUUUCAUCAUAUCCUUCUACCCUUUUCCUUUCCAUUUUCUAUAUCUUCAAUUGAUUCGUCAUGGUUUCAAAAUGGAUGGUAAUGACGACCUUUAUUUUCUACUGGAUAUUGAUCAUUUUAUCUCUCUUCGCCGCCAUUGUUCUUGUUGUACUUAUCUUGCAUCAUUUGGUCGAAGGUUUCAAAGGACUCGUAAUAUACAUACGAAGGACAAAGGAUGAAAGGACUAGAGCUGUACGUGUUGUGGAUGAAUCACAAUUCAAGGAUGUUACAAACAAUAAUACCGUGCAUUUUCAAGUAUAAUCUGAGAUCAAUUCUCACUGUCUCCUGUAAUAGAGCAAAAAAAACGAGGCAUGAACAUGACGACGUUUUUAUCUUGCAUGCAUGGAGAGAUUAAGGAAUUUUCUCAGUUUUGGCAUCGAUUACGCCUAAACCCUAAUUUUAACGAGGAAGAAUUCUUA
rnacentral:lncRNA from 1 species